AAGCUGCGGCGUGCCUAUAAUGCAAGUCGAACGCACUUAGUUAAAGAGCUUGCUCUUUAACUAAGUGAGUGGCGGACGGGUGAGUAACACGUGGGUAACCUGCCCAUUAGAGGGGGAUAACAUUCGGAAACGGAUGCUAAUACCGCAUAGUUUCAGGAAUCGCAUGAUUCUUGAAGGAAAGGUGGCUUCGGCUACCACUAAUGGAUGGACCCGCGGCGUAUUAGCUAGUUGGUGAGGUAAUGGCUCACCAAGGCAAUGAUACGUAGCCGACCUGAGAGGGUGAUCGGCCACACUGGGACUGAGACACGGCCCAGACUCCUACGGGAGGCAGCAGUAGGGAAUCUUCCGCAAUGGACGAAAGUCUGACGGAGCAACGCCGCGUGAGUGAAGAAGGUUUUCGGAUCGUAAAACUCUGUUGUUAAAGAAGAACAAGGAUGAGAGUAACUGCUCAUCCCCUGACGGUAUUUAACCAGAAAGCCACGGCUAACUACGUGCCAGCAGCCGCGGUAAU
rnacentral:rRNA from 1 species